CCGUUAGCUCAGUUGGUAGAGCAGGGGACUUUUAAUCCCAAGGCCGCGGGUUCGAAUCCCUCACGGUCC
rnacentral:tRNA from 1 species